GAUGAACGCUGGCGGCGUGCCUAAUACAUGCAAGUCGAGCGAACAGACGAGGAGCUUGCUCCUCUGACGUUAGCGGCGGACGGGUGAGUAACACGUGGAUAACCUACCUAUAAGACUGGGAUAACUUCGGGAAACCGGAGCUAAUACCGGAUAAUAUAUUGAACCGCAUGGUUCAAUAGUGAAAGACGGUUUUGCUGUCACUUAUAGAUGGAUCCGCGCCGCAUUAGCUAGUUGGUAAGGUAACGGCUUACCAAGGCAACGAUGCGUAGCCGACCUGAGAGGGUGAUCGGCCACACUGGAACUGAGACACGGUCCAGACUCCUACGGGAGGCAGCCGUAGGGAAUCUUCCGCAAUGGGCGAAAGCCUGACGGAGCAACGCCGCGUGAGUGAUGAAGGUCUUCGGAUCGUAAAACUCUGUUAUUAGGGAAGAACAAAUGUGUAAGUAACUAUGCACGUCUUGACGGUACCUAAUCAGAAAGCCACGGCUAACUACGU
rnacentral:rRNA from 1 species